UUAUUAUUAUUAUUCAUGCUUGUUUUUUGGGAUAUUCGAAUAUUUAAUCUACGUAUGCACUUUCGCGUAAAGCUAAAUAGCGGCUGCAUAGAUAGACUUUACAUUAUCGGUGUUUCUUUUUAAGGUAAGUAGAAAUCCAUUUAUGAACAUUUCCAUUUGUUGAAACGUAAUUUUAGGUGAUGCCUGAUUAUCCGAGGUUUUACCGAUUCAGUCUACAUAUCUGAAUCUGAGUUCUUAUCGCAUAAAGGAAAGAUCAUAGUUAUAUCAGUACAAAGACUCUCGACGGUAUCGAGCAUUAAUCAUCUCAUUCGCAGACGUGUGUUGGGUCAGUACCGAUCAGUGGUAAUUGAAAUUCUACUUGUAAACGAUAAUAGAAUUAAAUCUCGCUAUUAGAGGAGCAAGAUUCUCAGCUACACGCGAGGAGACUGAUCUGUAUCUGCGAAACUGAUAAAACUGCUCUUGUCGAAUUUAUUGCAUGUAAGAAUGGCGAAUAAAGAUUCGAGAGAAACUUGUGGAACAAUGCGAUCUGUGCUUUAUUCAGUCGUGUAAACUGUGAUAAAUAUAUGUAGGAAUAAACCGCAUCAUUGUAUGUAAACGUCGACGAAAUGGCACGUAAUAAAUAUUGAUGGCUGAGA